rnacentral:misc_RNA from 1 species
AGAAGAAAAAUAGAAGAACAAACCGGAAAUCAGCAGAAGAACAAAGAAAUUUGAUACAAGAAUUUCAAGAUAGAAAGAAAGAAUAGAGGGAAAAACCUGUAAUUGAGGAGUGCAAAUAAUUGCAACUUCAGUAGGAAAGUUUGGAAGUAAUCCCACCUUAGAACCAAGCUCUGAUACCAAUAUGUUGCAUAUCAGCUUGCACACUUACUAAAAUAGAGGAAUAGGGAGAGAAAG